rnacentral:rRNA from 1 species
CAGCAGCCGCGGUAAUACGAAGGGUGCAAGCGUUAAUCGGAAUUACUGGGCGUAAAGCGUGCGUAGGCGGUGAGUUAAGUCUGCUGUGAAAUCCCCGGGCUCAACCUGGGAAUGGCAGUGGAUACUGGCUCGCUAGAGUGUGUCAGAGGAUGGUGGAAUUCCCGGUGUAGCGGUGAAAUGCGUAGAUAUUGGGAAGAACACCGGUGGCGAAGGCGGCGACCUGGUCCUUGACUGACGCUGAGGCGCGAAAGCGUGGGGAGCAAACAGGAUUAGAUACCCCAGUAGUCCCUGUCUCUUAUAC